rnacentral:rRNA from 1 species
UACAGAGGUCUCAAGCGUUGUUCGGAUUCAUUGGGCGUAAAGGGUGCGUAGGCGGCGCGGUAAGUCGGGUGUGAAAUCUCGGGGCUUAACUCCGAAACUGCAUUCGAUACUGCCGUGCUUGAGGACUGGAGAGGAGACUGGAAUUUACGGUGUAGCGGUGAAAUGCGUAGAUAUCGUAAGGAAGAACCAGUGGCGAAGGCGGGUCUCUGGAACGCAAACUGACGCUGAGACGCGAAAGCGUGGGGAGCAAACAGG